rnacentral:rRNA from 1 species
CCUACGGGGUGCAGCAGUGAGGAAUAUUGGUCAAUGGACGAGAGUCUGAACCAGCCAAGUAGCGUGAAGGAUGACUGCCCUAUGGGUUGUAAACUUCUUUUAUAUGGGAAUAAAAUGUUCCACGUGUGGGAUUUUGUAUGUACCAUAUGAAUAAGGAUCGGCUAACUCCGUGCCAGCAGCCGCGGUAAUACGGAGGAUCCGAGCGUUAUCCGGAUUUAUUGGGUUAAAAGGGAGCGUAGGUGGAUUGUUAAGUCAGUUGUGAAAGUUUGCGGCUCAACCGUAAAAUUGCAGUUGAAACUGGCAGUCGUGAGUACAGUAGAGGUGGGCGGAAUUCGUGGUGUAGAGGUGAAAUGCUUAGAUAUCACGAAGAACUCCGAUUGCGAAGGCAGCUCACUGGACUGCAACUGACACUGAGGCUCGAAAGUGUGGGUAUCAAACAGGAUUAGAUACCCCAGUAGU